CCAUGUGUGGGUGUCUUACAGCUCUGUGCUAUGAUGCACACCGGAUUAUGGAGCUCCUAGGUAAAGCAGCAGGCCUAAUCUAUGGGUGGAAAGGACACUCAGACCGUGAUCAGCAUACAACAAACUUCCACGCUAUUUAUGUGGCCCACAACGAGUGAAUGUGUUACUGUGGAAACAUUCAGAAUGCGAGCGUAAAUUUGGCAAAAGCUAAAUAAAGGGUGCGUAAAGUGAGGUAUGGUGGGUUUACCCACCCCACGAACACGCACAUACUCCGGUCCCCAGGUUGCUCGACAUGAUUAUCCACGUGGCAUCACCAGCCAGAUGACAGCAGGGGCCGGUCACACACCAUAUGCAGUCAAGCGCGUGGCUGACAUCUGUUGCGCUGGACAAGGACAUUUCACAACGCUAUACAGCAUAUGUGCGAGUGUGAGUGAGAUCCGGAGGCGAGAAAAGUUUGGGAACACAACCGUACUCCUGAUAAAAGUAGCUGCGAGAGCCGCACAGGAUCCAAGAGGAGAUCUCGAUCCCAGUCGUCUUCUUGUUGCAUGUAAUUACCUUCUUCAUCAUAAAGCUGUUUUCCCCCUCUUUCUGGGAUAUUUUGUGGGUGAGCUCUAGGUGACCACUGAUGCUUGGACCCCUGGGCCUUUGCCCGGUCAGCCUGCUUAGUAGCCUAAUCUAUCCACAGUAGCACUGUACUCGUGCGCAGAAGGUUUCAAGUCAUUCAGAAAGAAAAGACAGAUGCCGACCUGAUGCCGACACGGGACAGCCCUGACAGGCAGGAGAAAGUGGAGUGCUCUUCCAUAUAUGGACAAACUUCCAUUGGUGGAUGUUUGGGAAAGUGAUGUCAUGGACAGGGAGCAGACAGCCAGCUCACCGCCCGGUCCCCGGCUGAAGGAAGUCGGCUGUGACUGCUGUGCAGAGGUGCAUCCGCUACAGAGCAACAGCAGCCUCAGUGGGGUGAUGGAAGGCAAUGGCAUCACUCACUAACAGUAAGUGUCCAUUAUGUCAUUCAAACACACAACCACACUGGAAGAGGCCCAACCCACAGAGUAGCAACAGGAACUGGCCAGCUGCCAAAAGAAGCUCAUCCUCUCAAAGCUGCAAAUGAUGGCAUAUUAAACACAUCAAUUAACUCUUUGUGAUUAAUCACUGAACUCUGGCAGCACACUCCGCUUUGGGCAGCUUUGGGAAAUGUCUCCCGGGCCUGCUACCUGACGUCAACAUAAUACUACUGAGCAGAACCCGGAAUAUCUUGUAGAGAGUCUGUGGUGCAAAGAGGCUCAAGCCUCAUGGGUCAUGUGAAGAGAUGGUGUUUGGCUCUGUCUGCUCUCUGGCAAGUGUCCAAGGUAUUCCUGUCAUGUUGGUAGGGGAAUUCUUAAAUAGCUGUCCUUGUUGUUAAAGCUGAGUCUCCUAUGGGAUACAGCGGAACAAACAUGAUAAUCUCAUCUAGUUGUACAUGUGUUUGGGUUAGUGGUGAAACCACUUGAGCUAAAACACCACCCGGGACUAAAAUAAACACACUGCAGGCCCAGGAUAAAGAAUGGUAUUAUUCAACUAAAAGGAAAGGUUUGCUUUACUAGAAUACAACUCAGCAAUAGGAGGGGUCUGGCAUCGACUAAAAGAUCAGGUGUCAAAUAAAGGGGAACUCCACCCAUUCUACAGAUCAAAGUCUGCUCACAGGUGUUGGGGGGUGCGGACGUAGAAAAAAAAAAGUUGCAUAAAGCUUUUCGUAGCUUUGAGCUGCACAAGAUCUGAUGAACUGCCUCUGCAUCUGUCUGGGCUGAGCUGAAACCAAAUGUUUGUAGCCUGCUCCUCAUCUCUGUUUGAGGCUUGCAGUUCAAGGCUACAUUAGCUGGUACUAGCAUAACGCCAUGUUCGACGUCAGUGUCAAUUAAACUGAUUAUAAGCAGCUAGUUAGGAAAAACAGUUCAUGUCACCCUCCAACUUGUAAUUCUGAAAGUCAGAGGAGGCAUCCGAAUCACAAGCGGCGUCACAAACAACCCCAGCUUUAACAGUAAUAAAAUGGAUUUGGCUCAUUUUAUAGGCAAAGGUUGCUUGCUUCUGCUUUCAUCUGGUAACAAACUGCCACAAAGACAUAACACAACAAACGAAGCCAAUUGAGGCCAUUUAUGUGGGUGAAACCAAGGUUAUCACUAAGACUAACCACUGUGGGAAAAUGCAGAAACAUUCCCAAGUCGGAAUAAAGGCCGUUAUUCCUGUUCUUCCCACAUGAAAUGUUUUGUCAACAUUGCACAAAUGCAGAAUCACACACCCAAAACUCUGACAGAACUGUCAGCAGCUCAGUUGAAAAGUGGGCCAUGUAUGUGCCAGGUUUUGACAAGGAAUUAUAAAAAAGACAAUAACUCUGUUUCUGCAGCACUUGAGACUUUUCUUUAACUGUUCACUUCGAGUCUAACAACAUUACAAGUGCAAUAUUCAAUUGGGGCAGGGUCCUAUUUCUAUGCAACAUUAAACACUCAGUAAUGAGGCUGUGCAAAUGGAUCCACUAUAUACACUACUGUCUUUUGACAAUCCCACAAAAGUUAUAGUUGUGAAACUCAGCAGCUGUCAGUGGUGACGCUAACCGUGCCGCGCCCAGCACAGUUUGCAGUCGGUACAGAAUUCAAGGACAAAAACACAAAACUGUCAUAUGACAUGACAAAACUUUUCCAACUUUGUCUGAAAACUCUUGCAGUGUCAGUAAGAAGCUGACUGACCAAAAUGGUUUUGGAGGGCUUUAAGAAACAGAGGUGAAUUGGUGUCCCCUCCCUUUCCAAAGCAAUAUGAUGCAUCUGUCUAAACCCAUGCUUGUUCUGUUGGAAUACACUGAGCUCCUCCCAGUUGUGACCUUUGAGGGAGAGAAAGAGCAAAUAUAACCAGUUUAGUGUCCCUGAAUAAACAAAGCUUAAAAAGCCAUAGUACUGUAAGGUCACUACCCAGUGCCAUUGUCCUUCAGUGCGACUACCGAUAGACACUUCAGCUUUGUGUGUAACAAAAGCAGAAGUGAUUUAAUUCUUCCAAGAAAAUCCAACGCUCCACAUAAUUUUGAUUGACACGGCAGCUGUGAAAUUGUAGUGUUAGCUGUUACAAACGCUGACUCGCUUGUACACCUCUGCAUCUGCAGCCUGUAAUUAAUCAUUAAACCAUAUGCAACCCAGCAGCCACACUCCAGUCAAACCACAAAAAAAUAAAAAAAUCCCUAUUUGAAUACUUGUCCUAGGAGAUGCAUGUGAGUUAAAUGAAGAGUGUCUACUUCCUGCAGAUAAGUGAUGGCCAUACAGACAAGUUCUGAGAAGCAGAGGAAAUUAUUCCGACAAGAGAGCUGUAUGAACAACUGGAUAACCCUCCAAUGCACAUCUGCCCACCCUCAGAUUAUCACUUCGCUACUAGCUCGAGAGGCUGUGAUGCCAUGUGGUGUGUUUUCUUUAGUAAUCUUUCCCAGCAGCUGCUGUUGUGCCCUCUAGCAAGUCUGCUUUGUCUGGGAGAGGAGUGCUGUUGCUCAAGUGGAGACAGGAGUAUGCAGUUUCUUCAAAGCAAUGACGUGAUGUGCUGCACAGACAAUCAUUACACUGGUGGGAAAUCUGAGUAGGUGUGGAACAGUUAUCUGCUGAAAAAACACUCGUCCACUUAUGGUCAGGUCAAGAUCCUCUCUUCUUUUAGGAAUGCUGAACUUUUCCAUUAGCUUAUUUUCAUGAAAUCCACCUGUAUGACAUCAUGCCCUCUGUAUUUUCAGUUAAAAAAAUAAACAUGGCUGACAUUUAACUGGUCCCAUUGUUUUUAGAUGAAAUGUAUUUUAAAUGUGACUACUUGUUAGCUAAUAAAACAAAUAAACAGACACGACUGAGAAUUUAUCCACCACCGCUCAGAGAUACUGCAUAUGUUGUUACAGAACAUUUACAGAAAACUGACCAACUCAGAGCAGUAAAUAUCCAAAUUUAGUUUCAUUAUCAUUAUUAGCUCCACUGGCUGCAUUCUCAGUGGACAUGAUAAUGAAUGAAAUUCAUCAUUGCUGAACACUGUUGCAGACUGUUUUAUUAUUUUUGGGGCAUAGUUUUAGAGU